rnacentral:piRNA from 1 species
AUAUGAUUAGUAGAAGGCAGGGUAAA